ACGCCUGCCACGGUCGGUCGGGAGCAGGUAGGGCUGACUGCAGGGGCUGGUAACCUAGGCGACUCUCUCCCCAAGUGCUCAGGGAGACACAGCUUUCAAUGUUUACAAAAUUCUAUGAUUUCUCCCACUCCAAAGGGAGGGACCCCAAGACCUGCUGGAGCCGGGGCGUUUGGCCAUCGGGGAGAGGCCAUCCACGUUGACGGGGAGAGGGGCAACUGCACGGGGUACCCGGGCGGCCUCUGCCGUGCGGAGCUGGAUAGAGCUGCCGGUGUUUAUUUGGGUGACCUGGAUUUUUGAACAUACCGUCUCCAGCCCUGACAAGUUUGAAACCUUGAAGAAAGAGGAGGAGGGCACAGGUGUGAGGAGGCUUCAGUGAGGGAGACAGGCCAUUGACCCGGGUGUCACCGGUGAUUUUUGCCCCGGCCUUCCAGGGAACGAGGCCCUGCUGCAGACGUUUCCCAGCCGCUGCGUCCAGCACCCACGGCUCCCACGUGUGCAGUCCGUCCUCUCCCUCUGCCGGUGCCUGGGAAGCUCCGUAAAGUUCUUUGAGGUCAAGGCCGUGGGACCUUCUUCUAGCCCCCCGAAACACGAAGCACAGGUCAGAACUUCUCCAGUGUGAUAGGCAUCUUUUGGAAAGUAAGUGAAAUGAUGGUGCGUGGCACAUGAGUGAACAUUUUAAAGCUAAUGUUUAGAUAUUUAUUUCACCAAGUAUUGUGUAUAUUAAAAAUAUAUACAUAAUGAGUGAGAUGUGCACCAUCUGGGGGAUGGUCAUACUGGAAACUCAGAC